UCUUACAGACGAGGAAGCAGGCGCAGCAGGAAGAAGAGUCUCUCCAAGGCCACACAGCCCACGAGGCCGACUGGGCCUUGAGCCGCAGCCUCAGGCUCCAGGCAGCGAAGGCACAGGGAAGACCUGGCAACAGGAAACGGCUCAGCGAUGCCCUGGGCAGCACAGCUUCUGGGCAGGCUCCGUCACCUCGGCCCACUGUGGCCUCCCUCCAGUGAGUGAUGGUGUGGAAGUUGGCUSAGCUCCACCUCGAACCUCGAACCUUCCUUCCCACCACGUCUGCGGGGGCAGUGGUCCCUGUUUUUACUAGGUGUUGGGCUGCCAGUGUGUCCCCGCACCUAGAAGAGAGCAAGGGACAGCGGAUCUGCUUCYUCAGCCCCCUGGUGGCCUUGAGCAUGUGUGGUUUGAAAGUAAAUGGCUUUGUCCCGGAGGAGGGCCAUGCAGAGACCCGGAGGGCUG
rnacentral:lncRNA from 1 species